GGGAAUGUGGCUUAGUGGUAAAGUGCUUGCUUAGCAUGCAUGAAGUCCUGGGUUCGACUCUCCAGUACCA
rnacentral:tRNA from 1 species